GAUGAACGCUAGCGGCAGGCCUAACACAUGCAAGUCGAGGGGUAGCAGGAUUAAGCUUGCUUAAUUGCUGACGACCGGCGCACGGGUGCGUAACGCGUAUGCAACCUACCUUAUACUGGGGUAUAGCCCGGAGAAAUUCGGAUUAAUCCCCCAUAGUACUAAUGAAUCGCAUGGUUUAUUAGUUAAAGCAUUGCGGUAUAAGAUGGGCAUGCGUCCUAUUAGCUAGAUGGUGAGGUAACGGCCCACCAUGGCUACGAUAGGUAGGGGGCCUGAGAGUGGGGUCCCCCACACUGGUACUGAGACACGGACCAGACUCCUACGGGAGGCAGCAGUGAGGAAUAUUGGUCAAUGGGCGCAAGCCUGAACCAGCCAUGCCGCGUGCAGGAAGAAUGCCCUAUGGGUUGUAAACUGCUUUUAUUUGGGAAUAAACCUCUUUACGUGUAGAGAGCUGAAGGUACCAAAUGAAUAAGCACCGGCUAACUCCGUGCCAGCCGCCGCUGUAA
rnacentral:rRNA from 1 species